UGGGGAAUUUUGCACAAUGGGGGAAACCCUGAUGCAGCGACGCCGCGUGAUUUAGAAGGCCUUCGGGUUGUAAAAAUCUUUUCUAUGGGAAGAAAAUGACAGUACCAUAGGAAUAAGGACCGGCUAAUUACGUGCCAGCAGCCGCGGUAAUACGUAAGGUCCGAGCGUUGUCCGGAAUCAUUGGGCGUAAAGGGUACGUAGGCGGGUAAGCAAGUUAGAAGUGAAAUCCUAUAGCUCAACUAUAGGAAGCUUUUAAAACUGCUCAUCUUGAGGUAUGGAAGGGAAAGUGGAAUUCCUAGUGUAGCGGUGAAAUGCGCAGAUAUUAGGAGGAAUACCGGUGGCGAAGGCGACUUUCUGGCCAUAACCUGACGCUGAGGUACGAAAGCGUGGGUAGCAAACAGG
rnacentral:rRNA from 1 species